CUACGGGCGGCUGCAGUGGGGAAUAUUGGACAAUGGGGGAAACCCUGAUCCAGCAAUGCCGCGUGUGUGAAGAAGGCCUGCGGGUUGUAAAGCACUUUCGGUUGGGAGGACUGCUUCUAGCACUAAUAUUGUUGGAAGUUGACGUUACCUUCAGAAGAAGCACCGGCUAACUCCGUGCCAGCAGCCGCGGUAAUACGGAGGGUGCAAGCGUUAAUCGGAAUACUGGGCGUAAAGCGCGCGUAGGCGGCUAGAUCAGUCGGGUGUGAAAGCCCCGGGCUUAACCUGGGAACUGCAUCCGAUACUGUCUAGCUUGAGUACAGGAGAGGAGAGUGGAAUUCCACAUGUAGCGGUGAAAUGCGUAGAUAUGUGGAGGAACACCAAUGGCGAAGGCAGCUCUCUGGCCUGAUACUGACGCUGAGGUGCGAAAGCGUGGGGAUCAAACAGGAUUAGAUACCCUUGUAGUC
rnacentral:rRNA from 1 species